rnacentral:rRNA from 1 species
UACGUAGGGUCCGAGCGUUGUCCGGAGUUACUGGGCGUAAAGGGCGCGCAGGUGGCGGUGUUGGCCCGGCGUGAAAGCCCCCGGCUCAACCGGGGAGGGUCGUCGGGGACCGCACCGCUUGAGGGCGGUAGGGGCUGGUGGAAUGCCUGGUGUAGUGGUGAAAUGCGUAGAGAUCAGGCGGAACACCCGUAGCGAAGGCGGCCAGC